GAUGAACGCUGGCGGCGUGCCUAAUACAUGCCAGUCGAGCGAACGGACUAGAAGCUUGCUUCUCUGAUGUUAGCGGCGGACGGGUGUGUAACACGUGUAUAACCUACCUAUAAGACUGGGAUCACUUCGGGAAACCGUAGCUAAUACCGGAUAAUAUUUUGCACCGCAUUGUUCAAAAGUGAAAGACGGUCUUGCUGUCACUUAUAGAUGGAUCCGCGCUGCAUUAGCUAGUUGGUAAGGUAACGGCUUACCAAGGCAACGAUGCAUGACCGACCGGAGAGAGUGAUCGGCCACACUGGAACGGAGACACGGUCCAUGCUCCUACGGGAGGCAGCAGUAGGGAAUCGUACGCAGUGGGCGAAAGCCUGACGGAGCAACGCCGCGUGAGUUACGAAGGUCUUCGGAUCGGAAAACUCUGUUAUGAGGGAAGAACAUAUGUGGAAGUAACUGUAGACAUCUUGACGGUAACUAAUCAGAAAGCCACGGCUAACUACGUG
rnacentral:rRNA from 1 species